rnacentral:rRNA from 1 species
UACGAGGGGAGCAAGCGUUGUUCGGAUUUACUGGGCGUAAAGGGCGCGUAGGUGGUCGUGACAAGUCACUUGUGAAAUCUCCGGGCUUAACUCGGAACGGUCAAGUGAUACUGUCGGACUAGAGUACAGAAGGGGCAACUGGAAUUCUCGGUGUAGCGGUGAAAUGCGUAGAUAUCGAGAGGAACACCUGCGGCGAAGGCGGGUUGCUGGGCUGAUACUGACGCUGAUGCGCGAAAGCCAGGGGAGCGAACGGG